rnacentral:rRNA from 1 species
GACGAACGCUGGCGGCGCGCCUAACACAUGCAAGUCGAACGAGCGAGAGAGAGCUUGCUUUCUCGAGCGAGUGGCGAACGGGUGAGUAACGCGUGAGGAACCUGCCUCAAAGAGGGGGACAACAGUUGGAAACGACUGCUAAUACCGCAUAAGCCCACGGUGCCGCAUGGUACAGAGGGAAAAGGAGCAAUCCGCUUUGAGAUGGCCUCGCGUCCGAUUAGCUAGUUGGUGAGGUAACGGCCCACCAAGGCGACGAUCGGUAGCCGGACUGAGAGGUUGAACGGCCACAUUGGGACUGAGACACGGCCCAGACUCCUACGGGAGGCAGCAGUGGGGAAUAUUGCACAAUGGGGGAAACCCUGAUGCAGCGACGCCGCGUGGAGGAAGAAGGUCUUCGGAUUGUAAACUCCUGUUGUUGGG